rnacentral:rRNA from 1 species
AGUGAACGCUGGCGGUAGGCCUAACACAUGCAAGUCGAACGGCAGCACCGUAAGAGCUUGCUCUUACGGGUGGAGAGUGGCGGACGGGUGCGGAAUACAUCGGAAUCUACUUUUUCGUGGGGGCUAACGUAGGGAAACUUACGCUAAUAACGCAUACGACCUACGGGUGAAAGCAGGGGAUCUUCGGACCUUGCGCGAUUGAAUGAGCCGAUGUCGGAUUAGCUAGUUGGCGGGGUAAAGGCCCACCAAGGCGACGAUCCGUAGCUGGUCUGAAAGGAUGAACAGCCACACUGGAACGGAGGCACGGUCCAGACUCCUACGGGAGGCAGCAGUGGGGAAUAUUGGAGGAUGGGGGCAAGCGGGAUCCAGCCAUACCGGGGGGGGGAUGAAGGAGUUCGGGUGGGAAAGUCCUUUUGGUGUGAAAGAAAAGCAGCAGGUUUAUACCCCGCUGUUCUGACGGUACCCAAAGAAUAAGCACCGGCUAACUUCGUG